UACGUAGGGGGUAAGCGUUGUCCGGAAUCAUUGGGCGUAAAGCGCGUGUAGGCGGCUGGCUAAGUCCGCUCUGAAAGCCCGGGGCUCAACCCCGGGAGGCGGGUGGAUACUGGUCAGCUCGAGUCCGGAAGAGGAGUGUGGAAUUCCUGGUGUAGCGGUGAAAUGCGCAGAUAUCAGGAGGAACACCAAUGGCGAAGGCAGCACUCUGGGACGGUACUGACGCUGAGACGCGAAAGCGUGGGGAGCAAACAGG
rnacentral:rRNA from 1 species